rnacentral:ncRNA from 22 species
GGGUGUUAGCUGCACGUUGCAGCGGGACAGGUCAUCUGCGCUGGUCGGGCCGCCACG